GGAACUCACUAUGUAGACCAGGCUGGCCUCAAACUCAAAUGUUCAUCUGGCUCUGCCUCCCAGGUGUUGGGAUUAAAGGCAUGUACCACCAUGCUGGGCUGUGGUUUUUCAUUUUGUGUUUAUUUUUAGUGUGUGUGUGUGUGUGUGUGUGUGUGUGUGUGUGUGUAGACACAUACAUGCUUGCCCAAAUGUCUGUGGGCAUGUAGAGAUCAGAGGACAAUUUGUGGAAAUCAGGUCAACAUUCUUCUUUGGCUGGGUGAGUCCUGGGCUGGAACUUGGGUCGUGGAGCUUGGCAGCAGGCAGCUUUGCCUGUCCAGCCGUGCAGUUGGCCUUGCGAUUGUUCUUUAAGGGACUGAAAGGCUUCUGUGACAGGCGUGUGUGACAGUUGGUUUGGCUCUUUCAAGAACUUGAGGAUGAAAUGUUGCUUUAUAUGCCUCAGUGAAAUCACUUGUCCUUUUCUUUGCGUUCUACACUUCUGUGAGUGCGUUACUUAUGGAGAAAGGCUUUUCUUUCUUGCCUGGUUCCCAGGUACCUUCCAUUUCAUGCCACAGCAGCACACUUGUUCCCGGCAGCAAUCAAGGAUCCUAAAAUUAAACCAAAUGCUUCAAGUGGUACCAGUUAGACAGGAAGUCUGCUGAUUUUUUUUACCUACAGGGACAAAAUAAAAGGCGAAACCCAAGUUUUAUUAAAGCCGUACAACUUCUACCCAA
rnacentral:lncRNA from 1 species